CUCUUUUUUCUUUCUUCCCUUCCCUUCCCUCGCGCCGCCUGACACCCCUCCUCCACGAAAAUUUCCUUAUCCCUUUGUCCUUAUCGUCCACUACUGGUUCGUACCCCAGCCCCGCCUUUAAAGCUGUCGCCUCGCCGAUUCACAGUCGCGCUCCGCACCCACUCGCCCAUCGAAACCACUCAGUCGUCCUUUCUCUCCAACAACACGUCGCCUCCCCCUCACCUCCCCUCCGCCGAGUCAUCCAAGCCUCGUCCCCACACGCUGAAGCCCUUCAGCCACCGCAGAUCUGUACCUGCCAUCCGUACCUGGGUCGUGAGGCUGUCAAACCUGCCAGACCUAGAGUGCUGUGAGUCAUCCAGCCGCGUUCCAUUCCGUCUACCACUGAUCAGCCGCUGUCUUUUCGCCCAGCCACUAUCCUCCGCCGAUCACUGCCAUCCUUUGUCGUCGUUCGUCGGAUUUUGGCUUGUGGUGAUGUUUUGGCAUUGGAAGAAUUUUAAAGUCGAAGUGUGUUGUCAAGCAUUGCGCAGGAUUAAGUUGGGUUCGCAAACGGAUUUAAGUUUGAAACUAAUUUUGGACUAAGCAACAUUUUGAUUGAUCAUUUGUUUGAGAGAUUGAAGGCAGUUUUGGAACAAACUACACUUUGGGCUUUAGAUUCAAAUUUUGGAGAAGUUUUGAAUAUAGAAGCGAACGACUUGAGUUUAAUUCCGACAAGAAUUUUGAUGUUAGAACUUUGAGGUGAUCUUAGUCAAACCACUAUUGGUCUGCCUCAGGGAAGAACAUGAUUGGAACAAUUGAUUAUAGCGAUCUUAUUCAUUUCUGGAGUUUGAUACGUCCCUUUCCCAUGCACACACCUUCUUAAGAGGGAUGCGCCCAAGGCGCCACGAGGCCGAGCAUGGAAAUGACGUUUCAAACCAAUGAAGAAGACUGCAAGAUGUGUUGACACACGUCCUUUUCCCACUUACUAUAAACACUUUCUCCAUUCACCUUGAUAUCGACCCAUGCAAAUAUCUUCUUAAGGGAGGGUGCACCCAGGACACCACAAGAUUGAACAUGAAUCUCACAUUGUGAACUUUUAGAGAGAGCGUGGGUAAAUGUUUUGUAAAUGAUGGGUUUAUUAACUCAGUAAAAUCCGACUAAUCAAUUUUUAGCCAAUUCA